AAGGCCCCUUCGGGGGUACACGAGCGGCGAACGGGUGAGUAACGCGUGGGUAGUCUACCUGGAAGUGGGGGAUAGCUCCGGGAAACCGGAGAUAAUACCGCAUGAAGUCCAGACAGUGCGAGCUGACUGGAAAAAAGAUGGGGAUCUUCGGACCUGUCGCUUUCAGAUGAGCCCGCGUCCGAUUAGCUUGUUGGCGGGGUAACGGCCCACCAAGGCUCCGAUCGGUAGCCGGCCUGAGAGGGUGAUCGGCCACAUUGGGACUGAGACACGGCCCAGACUCCUACGGGAGGCAGCAGUGGGGAAUUUUGGGCAAUGGGGGAAACCCUGACCCAGCGACGCCGCGCGGAGGAUGAAGGUUUUCGAAUUGUAAACUCCUGUCAGGUGGGAAGAAGGCUCCCAGGUGAAUAGCCUGGGUAGUUUGACGGUACCACCAAAGGAAGCCCCGGCUAACUCCGUGCCAGCAGCCGCGGUAAUACGGAGGGGGCAAGCGUUGUUCGGAAUUACUGGGCGUAAAGCGCACGUAGGCGGCUAGGUAAGUCAAAGGUGAAAGCCCUCGGCUCAACCGGGGAACGGCCUUUGAAACUGCUUUGCUUGAGUCCGGGAGGGGGGAGCAGAAUUCCCAGUGGAGCGGUGAAAUGCGUAGAUACUGGGAGGAAUACCGGUGGCGAAGGCGGCUCCCUGGACCGGUACUGACGCUGAGGUGCGAAAGCGUGGGUAGCAAACAGGAUUAGAUACCCUGGUAGUCCACGCCGUAAACGAUGGGCACUAGUUGCAGCGGGUGUCGACCCCUGCUGUGACGAA
rnacentral:rRNA from 1 species